UACAGAGGUGGCAAGCGUUGUUCGGAAUUACUGGGCGUAAAGGGCGCGUAGGUGGCCUGCUUAGUCAGACGUGAAAUCCCCGGGCUUAACUCGGGAACUGCGUCUGAUACUGGAAGGCUCGAGUUCGGGAGAGGAAUGUGGAAUUCCAGGUGUAGCGGUGAAAUGCGUAGAUAUCUGGAGGAACACCGGUGGCGAAGGCGGCAUUCUGGACCGAAACUGACACUGAGGCGCGAAAGCUAGGGGAGCGAACGGG
rnacentral:rRNA from 1 species